rnacentral:rRNA from 1 species
AUUGAACGCUGGCGGCAGGCCUAACACAUGCAAGUCGAACGGUAACAGGGAUCAGCUUGCUGAUUCGCUGACGAGUGGCGGACGGGUGAGUAAUGUCUGGGAAACUGCCUGAUGGAGGGGGUUAACUACUGGAAACGGUAGCUAAUACCGCAUAACGUCGCAAGACCAAAGAGGGGGACCUUCGGGCCUCUUGCCAUCGGCUGUGCCCAGAUGGGAUUAGCUAGUAGGUGGGGUAACGGCUCACCUAGGCGACGAUCCCUAGCUGGUCUGAGAGGAUGACCAGCCACACUGGAACUGAGACACGGUCCAGACUCCUACGGGAGGCAGCAGUGGGGAAUAUUGCACAAUGGGCGCAAGCCUGAUGCAGCCAUGCCGCGUGUAUGAAGAAGGCCUUCGGGUUGUAAAGUACUUUCAGCGGGGAGGAAGGGAGUAAAGUUAAUACCUUCGCUCAUUGACGUUACCCGCAGAAGAAGCACCGGCUAACUCCGUG